rnacentral:lncRNA from 1 species
AAGCCUCCUGUGGGACCACAGGCAGCUGACAUCUACAUGCAGACCAAGAACAAACUCCGCCACGUGGAGACAGAGGCCCUCAAGAAGGAGCCCCAGGCUCAGUCGGAGAGUGUCACCCAAGGGAGGUGGCUGCCAGGUGGAAGGUGCCAGUGGCAUGGCUGUAGAGGGUGCCCUGGGGAACACUGGCGUUCUGGCCACAGGAACAGAGCAAGGAUGGUCUAAGAGGUGAGGGGACAGCCUGAGGUCACAGGUGGCCAGAUGUGGUGUGGCAGCUCCCUGGGGUCCUGCUGGAGCCUGGGACCUUGCAGUUCUCUCUUAAGCCCAAGGCAAAGCCACCCCAGGGCCAAUUCAUACAAGGUGACUCAGGUCACAAGGCCAGUGGGCAAGGGAGGCAUGGGAGGGACACCAAACCUGCAGGCCAGCUCCAGUAGCUGCCCUCUUCACGCCACCUUAGACCAAG